rnacentral:rRNA from 1 species
AUGGCGCUGAAGCGGGCCACUUAUACUCCACCACCGGUGCAACAAUCACUUUCACUUGAGUUAGUACUGGGCACCGGUGAGUAGGAGGGCGUGAGGGUCGUCGUGCAGCUCGUGGCGCGAGCCAGAGUGAAACGGCCCUCAGUGCAGAUCUUGGUGGUAGUAGCAACUAUUCCAAUGAGAACUUGGAAGACUCAACGUGGAGAAAGGUUCCACGUGAAC